CCAAUAGCGUAUAUUAAAGUUGUUGCAGUUAAAAAGCUCGUAGUUGAAUUUCGGGAUUAGUACGUUGGUCGUGCCUUCGGUACGUACUGGUGUUACUGGUUCCUACCUUCUGACGAACCAUCAUGUCAUUAAUUUGGUGUGGCGGGGAAUCAGGACUGUUACUUUGAAAAAAUUAGAGUGUUUAAAGCAAGCUAACGCUUGAAUACAUUAGCAUGGAAUAAUGAAAUAGGACGUUCGAUCCUAUUUUGUUGGUUUCUAGGAUUGACGUAAUGAUUAAUAGGGAUAGUUGGGGGCAUUAGUAUUCAAUUGUCAGAGGUGAAAUUCUUGGAUUUAUUGAAGACUAACUACUGCGAAAGCAUUUGCCAAGGAUGUUUUCAUUAAUCAAGAACGAAAGUUAGGGGAUCGAAGACGAUCAGAUACCGUCGUAGUCUUAACCAUAAACUAUGCCGACUAGGGAUCGGAUGAUGUUAAUUUUUUAAUGACUCAUUCGGCGCCUUACG
rnacentral:misc_RNA from 1 species